UGGGGAAUAUUGCACAAUGGGCGCAAGCCUGAUGCAGCCAUGCCGCGUGUGUGAAGAAGGCCUUCGGGUUGUAAAGCACUUUCAGCGGGGAGGAAGGCGAUAAGGUUAAUAACCUUGUCGAUUUACGUUACCCGCAGAAGAAGCACCGGCUAACUCCGUGCCAGCAGCCGCGGUAAUACGGAGGGUGCAAGCGUUAAUCGGAAUUACUGGGCGUAAAGCGCACGCAGGCGGUCUGUCAAGUCGGAUGUGAAAUCCCCGGGCUCAACCUGGGAACUGCAUUCGAAACUGGCAGGCUAGAGUCUUGUAGAGGGGGGUAGAAUUCCAGGUGUAGCGGUGAAAUGCGUAGAGAUCUGGAGGAAUACCGGUGGCGAAGGCGGCCCCCUGGACAAAGACUGACGCUCAGGUGCGAAAGCGUGGGGAGCAAACAGG
rnacentral:rRNA from 1 species